AGACUCUCCAGCAGUUGGUAGCAGGCAAGCUUUCUCCUGUGUCGCCUGGAAAAGUUGCAAAAUUGCUCUUCACCUGUAAGAACAUGCAUUUUAUCUUCCAGUCUCUUCUUGUCAAUUUGGAAAUUGCAGACACCCCGGCUCAGGGUCAUGAACUUGUCGUCGUCGUCAUCAUCAUUGUCAUCGUCAUCAUCAUCACCAUCACCACCAGCAGCAGCAGCAGCAGCAGCAGCAGCAGCAAGAUUUUGUGUUGGGAAGACAUGAUGGCUCAGAUCAGUGCCAUGGUGGGAAGCAGCAAUGAUGGGGACUCCGAGCUGGCUUUUAUCAUUCUGUGUAGCAGAAGGAAUGACCUUGAACUUUGAGUCCUCUUCCCUCCAUCUCCCUACUGUUGGGAUUACAGGUCAUCUUUGCUUGCUGGGAAAAAGAAUCCUUAUGAGGAGAGCUUGUUUCCUGGAGAGAGAGGAGGCAACAACUGCCCUCUGAACUGACCCUUGUCUCAGAAAGAUGGCUACAAUGAACCCCAGGGAGGCGGAGAGCUGUGUGCAGAGGAGGUGUGGGUGAAGACAGAAGGAAGAUCCCUUAAGUGGGAUGACUUGUGUGGACCUCUGUGAAUCUCUUGCAAGCAGACCUAUGCAGUCAUCGGCCAGGCUCGGAUCAUUUUCAUGUUGACGUUGCCCUGAAGAUUAAUAGGGAUGUAUAUGGACUCCUCAGAGGAAAGCCGAAUCCCUUAAUGGCAUUUUCAAGGGUAAAGGAGAGAGAUCAGAUUGUUCUGCGGAGGAAGAGAGAGAAAUCACAACCACUCUCCAUGCAUUUCAACAGAGCUUUUUUUUUCCUUGUGUCAUAGCUACCUCCUUUGUCCCUAGGGAAGAGUGUAGUGGCUAGUCAUUCCUGUGUCCCAUUCUCUCCCCAUUAAAACCCUCUGCUUGGCCCAUUUCUUCUUUACCUGGGAAAUGGAGGAGGGGUUGUGCUGCAGAAAGGUCUACUUUGUCUUGAACACAAACCCCGAUCCCUAAAGUAUGUAUAUGCUUAUCAUAGCAUUUCUGACUUUACCCUACCUUAGAGAACAUGCCAAUGAAAUGUGUUUGUGAACUUUGGAGCCGGCCUCCUUAAAAAAAAUUAAACCUAGGGAAACCAAAGAGUCACUGGAUGGAGAUCUGUGUGCUGAUGCCUGACGCAGGCCAAGUGUUAUUCCAUAAUUUGGUCCUAUUUGCUGAAUGUCUUACUUGUGCUAUUAUCUGUUUUUCACACAUGUGCUUUUUUUUUAGAGUUGUCAUUGCUUUUAUUUACCAAAUGUCCUAUUCACUAUAUUAUCUAGUUUUUCAGAUGUCUUCUCAUUCUUCACACCAGAAAGAGAGUCUGGUCUACCAAAACCACUGCCGGAGCUGAGCUCAGAGGUACCACAGCAGGGAUACUUCACCGUCAAUACUUGCAAAGAGCACUGCGUCAUUCACUUGACAGGAAUGAGACUCCCUGUCCUGUCUUCAGUCCUGUCUUCAGUUACUCAACAGCUCUCAAGGCCACAUCUGUGUCCUGCCAAUUACAUUCUAGAAACAAACAAGCAAAGAAAUAAAUGCUUGGAACCACCU
rnacentral:lncRNA from 1 species